rnacentral:rRNA from 1 species
AACGAACGCUGGCGGCAGGCUUAACACAUGCAAGUCGAGCGCCCCGCAAGGGGAGCGGCCGACGGGUGAGUACCGCGUGGGAACGUACCUUUUGGUUCGGAACAACUCCGGGAAACUGGAGCUAAUACCGGAUAAGCCCUAACGGGGAAAGAUUUAUCGCCGAAAGAUCGGCCCGCGUCUGAUUAGCUAGUUGGUGAGGUAACGGCUCACCAAGGCGACGAUAAGUAGCUGGUCUGAGAGGAUGAUCAGCCACACUGGGGCUGAGACACGGCCCAGACUCCGACAGGAGGCAGCAGUGGGGAAGAUUAGACAAUGGGCGCAAGCCUGAUCCAGCCAUGCCGCGUGAGUGAUGAAGGCCUUAGGGUUGUAAAGCUCUUUUGUCCGGGAAGAUAAUGACUGUACCGGAAGAAUAAGCCCCGGCUAACUUCGUG